rnacentral:rRNA from 1 species
UACGUAGGUGGCAAGCGUUGUCCGGAUUUACUGGGCGUAAAGGGCGUGCAGGCGGUCUGUUAAGUUCAGGGUUAAAGCUCCCGGCUCAACUGGGAGAGGUCCUUGGAUACUGGCAGACUUGAGGAGGGUAGAGGAGAGUGGAAUUCCCGGUGUAGUGGUGAUAUGCGUAGAUAUCGGGAGGAACACCAGUGGCGAAGGCGGCUCUCUGGGCCCUACCUGACGCUGAGACGCGAAAGCGUGGGGAGCGAACCGG